AGAACAUGUUUUUGAAAAAUAUUUUUACUAUCCACUUUUAAAAAUAGAAAACUGAUUAAAAAAAUGUUACCAAAUCACCAUAGGGAAAUCAUGUAAGGGUAAUCAUGCAAGGGUAAUCAAAUGGAAUUUUUACACAAAAUGACUAUUUUGACCAAUUUUUAACAUUUAUAUUAUCCUUUCUAAUUUUUAACAUUUUUACUUUUUAAAAUUUUCUUUAAUACUUUUUUAAAGUUUUAUAAUUACAUAUUUACCUUUUGUUCUUCUUUUUCAUAUCUAACCUCAUUCAGAUCUGGGUUCAACAAGUCCUCUUACUCUCUCAUCAAGCUUAUCGAGCUUUCACACUUGUCUUCGCACAAUCACCAUAUGUAGCUUCUCGUCAUCUGCCUCUUCUCAAGCCACCAUUGUCGUUCAAUCGAUGUUUUCAUCCAUUGAAGAGGCUUUUCAGGGAAAAACGUGAGGUGCAUGAUAAGACCUCUGACGUUGUUGACAAGUUGAAGCUUUCAAAGAAAAAUAUUAUCAAGGUUUAUAAUUUGUUUUUCUAAUUUAUCUUGUUUGAAAUGUUCUCUGAUUGUUGUUCAUUCAUUUGAAAAAAAAAUCAUACCAGAAAGUUAUUUUAUAGUUUGUUUAAUGUUGUUUUGAUGUUGUUUUAACUGCUGCAGGACUUGAUUUCUAGUGAUGAUGAACUUCAAAGUUGAUCAGAAUAGACUUGUUGUUCAUUUCUAUUCCUUUGAUAGAAUGAAGUGAGUUGCAAACAUUGAAAGUGUACAAGAAAAUGUUUCAAAGUCUUUUAAGAAAAUUGAAGCCACUAUACAUGAAUUAAUGAUUGAGGAGUGUAUUUGAAGUUAUUUUAUGAUGCUAUUUAAAUAUUCUGUUAAAGUGGAGUUAUUAUAUAUUUAUUAAUUUAUUGUUAUUUAGUUGUUCAAUCAAGAAAAACUAAAUAUAUAUAUGUUUAAUUUUACAUGGAAACAUAUAUAAAGAUUGUUGUUGUGUUAUUUUUCUAAGAUUAUUUGUGUUUUUAGUUAACACCACAUGUUGAUGUCUAAUAACUUUUCAUAUUAGAAUAGAGUUGUUAUCUUAUUAUCUGCUCGUUGUUAUUUAGUUGUUUAACUACGUAAAAAAAUUAAAUGAAUAUAUGUUUACUUUUUUAUGGGUAUAUAAUUUUUUUAAGUUGAUGCACUAGUAUUUUGUAGUUUCUUUUACUUUUUUCUUAAAGAUUAUUUAUCAAUAAUUUUUGAAUUUCUUUUGAGUUAAUGCAAUGCGUUGUUAAUUAAUUAAUUUACGUAUUAAUAUGAAGUUGUUAUCUAGUUAUUUUAUUUUUUCAUAUAUAAUUGUCCAAUCAAGAGAAAAAUAGUUUAUGUCUUAGUUUUUCAUGGUUCAUACUUUUUGUUGUUUGUUAGUUUCUUUCAUAUUUUAUACACUAUUAGUUGAUGUACAAUUGAUUUUUAUGUUAAAAUAGAAUUGUUACUGUGUUGUUUAUUCGUUGCUAUUAUGUUGUUUAACAAAAAGAAAAAUGAGUAUAUACUUAUUUUUUUAAUGUGUAGAUAUAUUUUUAAGUUGGUGUACAAGUGUUAUGUAGUUGUUUUUAAAUUUAUUUUAUAGAUUAUUUGUGUAUUUUUUUCUUAGAUCUUAUGUAAUUUAUGAAGUUGUUUUCAUGCCUAUUUAACUUGCAUAUUAUAGUAAGUUGUUAUGCAGUUAUUUAUUUGUUGUUAUUUAGUUAUUCAACCAAAUAAAAAUGAAUAUAUACACAUGUUUAUUUUAUUUUAUACAUUAGUGAUGUUUUUUACUUUUUUAGAGUUAUUUUUAUGCCUAUGUAAUUUGCAUAUUGUAGUGGAAUUUAUGCAGUUGUGUUUUUGUUGUUUAACUAAGAGAAAUAAAUGUAUAUAUAUUUUCUUUAUUCGUGUGUUGUUUUUAUUUUAUUUUUUAAGUUGGCGUAAGUGUUGAUGCUCAAUUAAUUUUUAUAUUAAAAUAAAAUUGUUAUCGUGUUGUUUAUUCGUUGCUAUUAAGUUAUUUCAGUAUUGUAUUUUUUGAAGAUUUUAUCUUAUAAAUUUAUUUUUGUUUGCAUAAUAUGAUAAACUUUAAUUGAUUUAUAUGUUAUGGUUAAGUUGUUUUCUAGUUAUUUUUGUGUUGUUGUUUAGUUGUUUUGCACUGAGAAAAGAAGUCUUAUACGUUAAAAUUCAUUUUGUCCGAAUUCGCCACGUGGCAACCACUGCUGCGUUCUGACGCUACAGUUUGUGAGCGUCAGGCAAGUCUGAAUGCUUUGUCCCUCACUCGCGUGUGAGUCUCACUCGCCCACAUAGCCACAUGUGUGCCACACAUCUCCUUGCGCAUCUGGGGGAGUUUUCAAGUGUAUUUUUGUAAAUAAGAAACUUUAAAAAUAGUAUAUUUGAAAUUAAUAAACAAUAUAAAUGUUUAUUUUUGCUUAUGGUAGUAUAAAUGUAUAUUUAAAGUAAUUUUAACCCAAAAUAGAAAAAACCCCUAAUCAAAUACCCUUAUGUAACCAGAAAGAUAACUAGUUACCAUAAAGGGUAA